rnacentral:tRNA from 1 species
AAGAAAGUGACAGAAUGGUUAUGUGGCUGGCUUGAAACCAUCUUAAGGGGGUUCAACUCCUCCCUUUCUCG